CAGAUACUGCUAGUAAUGACUUUGCCUUUUUUGUCCCUAAACCUUUUUGUCCCUAAACUACCUACUAUUUGGCCUAGUUUUUCAGAUACUGCUAGUAAUGACAACAAUUAAAGCGUAAUUCAAUCAGAAGUGUAUCGUACCACAAGCAUUGACCUGAUUGUCCAGGGAAACAAGAUUGGCUUCUAGCAGCAUUGCUGAGGAUGAAGAAAUGGCAGAAGAUGUCCCUGACAUUCCUGUUGAUGUUUGUGAAUUGGAGGAUGGCUUCUCUGACGAGGACAUCUCUAUGGAGAUAGAGGAGGUUGAUUCUGAUGGCAGUAGCUGGG